GAAUGAUAUUGUAUAAUGAGCAUAACAACAAACAUGCACAAUGAAGCUCACUGACAGAUAAUCUAAUUGACAGACAAACAAACACAAGUUCACUGAAAUAUACAGGCAGCCCACUGACAAACACAUACAAGAUCACUAACACACACAACCUCACCACAGAAAGUUCUCUGACACAGAAACUCACAACACACAAGUUCACGGACACACACAAGCUCAC